rfam:Triticum aestivum genome assembly, contig: Triticum_aestivum_CS42_TGACv1_scaffold_049478_1BS
UAAACACUCCCUCGGUCCAGGAAUACUUGUCAAUGAAAUGGAUGUAUCUAGACGUAAUUUAGUUAUAGAUACAUCCAUUUUUACCCAUUUCUCCGACAAGUAUUUUCAGACGGAGGGAGUAUAAG